rnacentral:rRNA from 1 species
UUGACCUCGAAUCAGGUAGGGAUACCCGCUGAACUUAAGCAUAUCAAUAAGCGGAGGAAAAGAAACCAACCGGGAUUACCUUAGUAACGGCGAGUGAAGCGGUAACAGCUCAAAUUUGAAAUCUGGCUCCCUGCGGAGCCCGAGUUGUAAUUUGUAGAAGAUGCUUUGGGCACGCGGCUCGGCCUAAGUUCCUUGGAACAGGACGUCGUAGAGGGUGAGAAUCCCGUAUGCGGCCGGGGCGCACGCCUGUGUAAAGCUCUUUCGACGAGUCGAGUUGUUUGGGAAUGCAGCUCAAAAUGGGUGGUAAAUUUCAUCUAAAGCUAAAUAUGGGCCAGAGACCGAUAGCGCACAAGUAGAGUGAUCGAAAGAUGAAAAGCACUUUGGAAAGAGAGUUAAACAGUACGUGAAAUUGUUGAAAGGGAAGCGCUUGCAACCAGACUUGGGUAUCGUUGAUCAUCCAACGUUCUCGUUGGUGCACUCGGCGAUGCACAGGCCAGCAUCGGUUGGGGUGGUGGGAGAAAGGUCGUGGGAACGUAGCUCCUUUCGGGGAGUGUUAUAGCCCGCGGCGCAAUACUGCCUACUCCGACCGAGGACCGCGCUUCGGCUAGGAUGCUGGCGUAAUGGUUGUAAGCGACCCGUCUUGAAACACGGACCAAGGAGUCUAACAUCUAUGCGAGUGUUUGGGUGCAAAACCCAUGCGCGAAAUGAAAGUGAACAUAGGUGAGAACCC